CACCCCACCCUGUACACUCUGUUACUUAGUCUGUUUUGGAGUUGCCUGGUUUCCCGAAGCAGAUCUAGCUCCUUGGGCAAUGAUGGUACACAGCGCAUGCUUGCCUAAAAAUCCAGUAUGGAACCUGCCGUCGGGAGACUGGUGAGGUACUGGGCUCAUGACCACCAGUCAGAGACAAGGAUAUUAGAGAUGGAGUUUGUGUUGGAUGACUUCAAGAACCAAUAUGAGAGAAGCACUAAUGUCCAUGGGCCCAGGCAUGGUGACACACACUUGUCCCAGGCCUUCGCAAGAAGAGGUAGGUUGAGCUCAGAGCCAGACUCAUCUGUGUAGCAAGCACAGGGCAGCCUGGGCUCCAUGGGGCAGCCUGGGCUCCAUAGAAGCCUGUCACAAAACAGCAACAGUAACAACAGCAGCAACAACAACAACAACAACAAACAAAUAAACAAAAACACCUCUACAAGAGCCACAUUUAAUUCCAUUGGCCACAGGCAAACCAAGGGAAGGUGGUGCACAACGGCCUGGCUUGAGAUGGAAACAGAAGGCCCCUUUGUCUGGAAACACAAUGAAUAAUGGACACCCCGUUGAAUGGCACAAGCAAUGGUCAGGUAUGACACUGCUUUUCCAAAAGACUAAAGCUUUGUGAUGGCAAGGUUAUUUUUCCUCCCGGCUCUGUUUUUCCUGGCUCUUGCCUCAGCCAUGGAAGUAGCUCUCACUGGGCUCUCCAAGGACAAUGGCAGCCCUUCCUAGGUCCUUCCAACCACCAAGGGCCCAGCAGCUCCAGCCUGGAAUACACAAAGGGGCUUUGUGGUUUCCCCAUGGAAAGGGGAUAGAGAGGACUUUGUAUAUGAGUCCCCAUUCCAGCAAUCACUGUCCCCUGAAGUACAUGAUGUGUCAGGGAACCACUGUUAACUUCUGUAAUGGAAAAAAAAAACUUUACUUUUUAUUUAA
rnacentral:lncRNA from 1 species